UGGGUCUCAAAGUUUUAAAUGCCACUGUUUGUAUAUACCAAUAUCCCAAUCCAAAAUAAAAAAAAAUGCAAGCGCAAAGAACUAUGAAUAACACUUCUUUUUUGGUUUCGAGAUAUGGAUUUUUGUUGCUGAAGUGUAUAGACUGUAGACUAUAAUGAGGGAAAAAGACGAGUGUAAAUUUGGGUAUGGAAAGGAGGAGUCGAUAGGAGAAUGACUAUUGGGAAG
rnacentral:lncRNA from 1 species